rnacentral:rRNA from 1 species
GACGAACGCUGGCGGCGUGCCUAAUACAUGCAAGUCGAACGAAGCUGUUUUAACUGGUGCUUGCACCGACUUAAACAACCGAGUGGCGAACGGGUGAGUAACACGUGGGUAACCUGCCCCAAAGCGGGGGAUAACAUUUGGAAACAGAUGCUAAUACCGCAUAACCACAGAAACCACAUGGUUUCUGUGUCAAAGAUGGUUUCGGCUAUCACUUUGGGAUGGACCCGCGGCGUAUUAGCUAGUUGGUAAGGUAAUGGCUUACCAAGGCAAUGAUACGUAGCCGAACUGAGAGGUUGAUCGGCCACAUUGGGACUGGGACACGGCCCAAACUCCUACGGGAGGCGGCAGUAGGGAAUCUUCCACAAUGGACGAAAGUCUGAUGGAGCAACGCCGCGUGAGUGAAGAAGGUUUUCGAAUCGUAAAACUCUGUUGUCAGAGAAGAACGUGUGCGAGAGUAACUGUUCGUGCAGUGACGGUAUCUGGCCAGAAAGCCACGGCUAACUACGUGCCAGCCGCCGCGGUAA